GGGUGGAGGAGGAAAUGGCAACCCACCAGUAUUCUUGCCUGGAGAAUCCCAUGGACAGAGGUGCCUGGCGGGCUACAGUGCAUAGGGUUGCAAAGAGUCGGACUUGACUGAGCGACUAAACCAACCAGAGACCUCCCUAGAAUCAUGUUUCCUAAAAUGGGUUGAAGCAGAUGCUGAAACUCAAAACCAGAGACCUUAAAUCUGUAGGAACUCAGCAGCCUUAGUGAAUGAUGAAACACCCACAGAGCAGAGAAAAACUGGAUGAACUGAGAGGCAGAUUCUUUAUCAUCUGAGCAACUAGGGAAGCCCCGAUUGGUUGGAAGAGAAGCCUAUUUGGUGAAGGGGAACAGGACUGAGGACAAAACCUAAUCAGGGAGGAAGACUGAACAGAAAAGCAGAGGUGCAGCCCUCAACGUGGCCUGGAGGAGUCAGCGCAUACACAGCCCAGCGCGUCCUCAGCCCUGGGUCCAGAGAAAUCUGUGGUGUGUGUUCCAUCCCACUUCUGAGAGC
ensembl:lncRNA